AUGCAGAAAGAGGGUCCAGUUCGAUUCUCCUCAAGCAAAGAAGGGUAUGAGAACGUGUCCAGGACUGGGCUGGAGCUAGGCAACAGUUCUGAGCAUAGGGAGUAGUUUUGACAGAACUGCAUCCUCAUGCAAAUUGAUCCAGGUGAGGUGGUGGUGCACAUCAGUGACUCCAGCACUCUGGACGUGGACACCGGAGGUCAGGAGUUCAAGGUCAUCCUCAGCUACAUAGGGAAUUUAAGAACCCUGUGAAGUGGGGAAGCUGAGGCUGUGCAAUGUGGGGUCAUUCAUCGAAGAUCACCCAGGGAAUACACAACAGAGCUAGAAGCAACUUCUUCAUAGGAAAUGCGAGGGAGUGGAGAACAGCCAGCAAUGGGAAAGAGAUGCCUGAGCAACGGGAUGUUCUACGGCUGAGAUUCAAAACUGCACAUCUAAAGGGUCCUGGAAGAGCUACUGUGCGUGUCCGUGAAGCCCCUGAAAUUGUGUACAGAAUUUUAAGACCUGGGUUCGAAUCCCAGCACCCACAUG